UUACCGGCAGAAAAAGCACCGGGUUACUUUUGUCCCGGCGCGCGCGAAAAUACGGAGGGUGAAAGCUUCAAUCGGGAUUUUUUGGGCGUAAAGGGGGGCCAGGGGUUUCUUCCAAUUUCGAAUGAAAAACCGGGGCCCCACCCUGGGAACCGCUUUUAAAAUUGGCAGCCUAGAUCUUGUAGGGGGGGGUGAAUUUCCGGGUUUGGGGGAAAAAUGCGUAGGAUUGGGGAGGAAUCCCGGUGGGGAAGGGGGUCCCCUUGGCCAAAAACUGCCGUUCAGGUGGGAAAGCGUGGGGGGCAAACAGGUUUAGAUCCCCUUGUAGUCCACGCCGUAACCGAUGUCGACUUGGAGGUUAGGGCCCUUGAGGCUUUACUUCCGGAACUAACGCGUUAAGUCGACCGCCUGGGGAGUACGGCCGCAAGGUUAAAACUCAAAUGAAUUGACGGGGGGCCGCACAAGCGGUGGAGCAUGUGGUUUAAUUCGAUGCAACGCGAAGAACCUUACCUACUCUUGACAUCCAGAGAACUUGGCAGAGAUGGUUUGGUCCCUUCGGGAACUCUGAGACAGGUGCUGCAUGGCUAAAGUCAGCUCGUGUUGUGAAAUGUUGGGUUAAGUCCCGCAACGAGCGCAACCCUUAUCCUUUGUUGCCAGCGGUUCGGCCGGGCACUCUAAGGAGACUGCCGGUGAUAACCUGGAGGAAGGUGGGGAUGACGUCAAGUCAUCAUGGCCCUUACGAGUAGGGCUACACACGUGCUACAAUGGUGGAUACAGAGGGUCGCGACCUCGCGAGAUCAAGCGGACCUCAUAAAGUGGGUCGUAGUCCGGAUUGGAGUCUGCAACUCGACUCCAUGAA
rnacentral:rRNA from 1 species